rnacentral:lncRNA from 1 species
UCAUCUGUGACUGGGAGACAGACUGUGUGAGCCCGUUUCGUUUUGCAAGCCACAGCAACCCCAAACUUUUCAUUUUAUUUUUCUAUUAGCACUAAAUUCUUUUCCUUUUUUCUUUGUAUUCGAGAUUCGCAAUCUCUCUGAAAGAAACAAGGAGGUUUUGACUGAGCCUGGUGGCAGAGCGGUGGCAAAACUAAGGGAGUGCAGUUUGAUUUUUGCCACCGUCCCCUUGUUUGGGAUGUUAGCGCCUCAGCUCACAUCUUUCAAGUUCCUGGGAGACUAACGGGGUUUGCGGUUUGGGUGGGAUCGGCGUGGCCUUCUCCUUUUCUCCCGGACAACGCAGGGACCAUUCAGGGAGCCUCCUGAACUCGAGGGCCCCCGUGGAAGGCGCGCAUCCCCGCGCGGGGACAACCUAGGUGGCGGCUCACCAAGCGCGUGGCGUGUGUUUUGGUUUCUGCGCAGCUACACGUGGGGCACCUCCGUGUGCGUGUGUGUUGUGUACUUGAUCUGUGAGAAGGUAACUGGAGUCUCGUGUUCAAACCCAGUGGGCCCUUGGCCAUUAAUUUGCUUUCCUGGCUGUCAUUACAGACACUUCCAAAAUCUGAUACCUAAAGAGAUCCAACAGGUUGGGUUUCACAUUAAGAGCCCACACUUAACAGUUUUCUUUCUCCCUCACCCCCUUUGGCUCCGCACUCUGGGAUCAACGUAAUUGUUGGAGCGAAAUACAUCUUCUUGAAUAUGGUAUUUUGUUGCUCUUCUCUUAGCGCCGCCUUUUUGCACCUAUGAGCGUUUGUCAGUUUCAGCGAGGCUCCUGGGGGACUUAGGUGGGAGUCUUUAGGAGUGUUUAGCAACCCGGACUCCCAUCAACAACUUCUGAAGUUUCAUUUACCCGUGGGUGACUGACAGCGCUGAAAGUGGACUGUGGCUUUUUUGUUUGCUGAGUGCUUCUCUUUUAAUUUAAUUUAAUUUUUUAAGUUUUAAGGACAAAACUUGUAUUUGAUACAAUUUCCCAAUAAAGUUUGAUAUUUAAGU